UGGGGCGUGGCCAAGUGGUAAGGCAACGGUUUUUGGUUCCGUCAUUCGUAGGUUCGAUCCCUGCCGCCCCAG
rnacentral:tRNA from 1 species